AAAAAGUGCAGUUUUGCACUAUUAACGUUCAACGUUUGACCAUUCAUUUUAUUUAAAAAAUUUUUAUAUCUAGUAUUUUUAUUACUAUUAGAUGAUAAAACAUGAACAGUAGUUUAUGUGUGACUAAAUACUUUUAAUUUUUUUACAAAUUUUUUAAAUAAAACGGACGGUUAAACGUUGGGUACGGAUAUCUACGGCUGCACUUAUU
rfam:Oryza sativa Japonica Group DNA, chromosome 7, cultivar: Nipponbare, complete sequence.